rnacentral:lncRNA from 1 species
ACAGUAAAUAGAGAGCCGUUAUAUUGACAGCGUACGAAAAUGUGACCGUUGGGCCACCCUUGUACGGCUUCACGUGGUCGGUGGUGGCCUCGGUUGAUUUUUCCUCAUAAAAUACUUUAUUUUUACACUCGGACCAUACCAGCCAAGCCAAGCUAAGCCACCAUAGCCAAUUUCUUACAAGUAAAAUCCUCUAAAGCUAAGCGCAAUGGGACCCCCCUCAAGGUGGGCGAGAGCUUUACGCUACUAGACGCGACUUUAAGAAAUAGGAGGUGAUCGCUUUGCUUUACUUCACUGGUCGCUUUCCUUUGAAUUGCGACAUGGAAAAUGAAUGAAUCUCGCAAUCAGUCUUGUUCACGACACAAGUUUGAUCCAAUCCAUCCAUUCCAAGGUACCUCCACUGCAUAAUCUCCAUAGUUUAGAUUAGCGAAAGAGAAAGAGAGAGAGAGAGCUCUAAACAACACAUUUAUGGAUCUUCCGGACAAGCUUAUGAGCGCUGGGACACACUACCACUAGGCUAUACCAGAAAGAAGAAAAGAAGAAAAGGAAAAAGAGAGGCUUACAGAGAGUGUACUUGAGCUUACCUUGUAGGAGUAGCUCGUCGUUGGCGAUCUCUCAUGUUGGAUCGAUCGCUUGGCUCGAUCCGGUCAGCCUCUGCAAGUAGAACAAUCCAUGG